UGGAGGUAUCAGAAGUGCGAAUGCUGACAUAAGUAACGAUAAAGCGGGUGAAAAGCCCGCUCGCCGGAAGACCAAGGGUUCCUGUCCAACGUUAAUCGGGGCAGGGUGAGUCGACCCCUAAGGCGAGGCCGAAAGGCGUAGUCGAUGGGAAACAGGUUAAUAUUCCUGUACUUGGUGUUACUGCGAAGGGGGGACGGAGAAGGCUAUGUUAGCCGGGCGACGGUUGUCCCGGUUUAAGCAUGUAGGCUGAUUGUCCAGGCAAAUCCGGAUAAUCAAGGCUGAGGUGUGAUGACGAGGCACUACGGUGCUGAAGUAACAAAUGCCCUGCUUCCAGGAAAAGCCUCUAAGCAUCAGGUAACAUCAAAUCGUACCCCAAACCGACACAGGUGGUCAGGUAGAGAAUACCAAGGCGCUUGAGAGAACUCGGGUGAAGGAACUAGGCAAAAUGGUGCCGUAACUUCGGGAGAAGGCACGCUGGUGUGUAGGUGAAGUCCCUGCGGAU
rnacentral:rRNA from 1 species